AUUGAACGCUGGCUGCAGGCCUAACACAUGCAAGUCGAGCGAGCGGCGGACGGGUGAGUAAUGUCUGGGAAACUGCCUGAUGGAGGGGGAUAACUACUGGAAACGGUAGCUAAUACCGCAUACCAUCAGAUGUGCCCAGAUGGGAUUAGCUAGUGGGUGGGGUAACGGCUCACCUAGUCGACGAUCCCUAGCUGGUCUGAGAGGAUGACCAGCCACACUGUAACUGAGACACGGUCAAGGCGCCUACAGGAGGCAGCAGGGGGGAAUAUUGCGCAAUGGGCGCAAGCCUGAUGCAGCCAUGCCGCGUGUGUGAAGAAGGCCUUCGGGUUGUAAAGCACUUUCAGCAAGGAGGCUUUACCCGCAGAAGAAGCACAGGCUAACUCCGUGCCAGCAGCCGCGGUAAUAC
rnacentral:rRNA from 1 species